CUGGCUGUAAAAUAGGCUAAUUUACCAAGCUCACAUUAAGAGCCUUUUUUGGGUCAUAUUUCAGUACAGCUGGAUUGUGUUGUUGGCACAACUCUAAAUAUAGAUCAAUCUGCAAAUUGCUUGCUCCUGAAAUUGGUUCAAAGAAGUAUUCCGAGCCAGAUGUACAGCUAAUACAUGGGACGGUGAAUCCCAGCCCUCCUGGAGUAAGGUCUGUGUCUUUAAGAAGAGACUCUCUAGUACUCCUCCAUAAACC
rnacentral:lncRNA from 1 species